CUUGUAUCUUGGACUUCCCAGUGGCAGGGUGCUACCACAGCCAGAUUCUUUGCUUCUGUACCUAUAGCUUCCACAACAGGGAAUGAGGGAGGCAAGUGUCUGGGGUGUAGUAGAACAUGACUGUGUACCUGUAGCUGGUGAAUUUUUCUCUUGGGGACUGUUAUGGAUCAAUAGCCAUCCCCACCUACUCUAUAAUGUGCCAGGGACAAAUUUGGAAAGCCUUGAUUGUCUUCUUCCCAUUCUCCAGUGCUGGGAUCUUUCCUGGAAAUUCCACUAGUAGUGGUUCAGUGAUCCAUGCUCCCCUCCCAUGCUUCAGAAGACUCACUUUUUCCAUGCAGUUUUCAGCCCAGCGAAUCCUGAAUUUGUGUCUGUGGUAUGGACCAACUUCAACAUGAGGAGGUGGAGACUGUUUCUCUUCUGCCAUGGCCUGUAUCCUUGCUUUCCUGAACCCUUCCAGGCAGAUAGAGUUGAACCCAAUUCUUCCAUAACCUGGCUAAGCAACUAUUUUUCCAUUCGUUUUUACUACUAAUCUGUACCUAGUAUGAUGAGACCCUUAUCAAUGAAUCUCCAGGAGUUACUGCCAUAAAAAAACAACCAGCAAUAACAUAGGAAUCUGAUGUUUACUUUCCAUUGCUUAGAGCAUGUGAAUAUUGUCUAAUUCCUAUGUCUUAGUACAUACUGAAGUAUGCUGAAAUGUCAAUAUGUGUAUCAAUGAAACAUUUAUACAUGAAUACAUAGUGCUGGUUAUAAGUAAAAAAAAUCUGUGUUUUUAAAUUUAAACUAGGUGUAAAGAGUCAGAAGCUCAUUAUAGAGUUAGGUAGAUCUGACUCUACAAAUUGGACAUUUCAAAAAGAUGAAGUGAUAGAAGCAUAAUUUGACAUUAGGCAUCUUUGAGAUGAGCCCAUUAAGUGAUGGAAAAUAAAGUUUACAUAUUGAAUAAGAAUUUUCUUAAU
ensembl:lncRNA